rnacentral:rRNA from 1 species
UACGAAGGGGGCUAGCGUUGCUCGGAAUCACUGGGCGUAAAGCGCACGUAGGCGGCUUUUUAAGUCAGGGGUGAAAUCCUGGAGCUUAACUCCAGAACUGCCUUUGAUACUGGGGAUCUCGAGUCCGGAAGAGGUGAGUGGAACUCCGAGUGUAGAGGUGAAAUUCGUAGAUAUUCGGAAGAACACCAGUGGCGAAGGCGGCUCACUGGUCCGGUACUGACGCUGAGGUGCGAAAGCGUGGGGAGCAAACAGG